rfam:Desulfosporosinus youngiae DSM 17734 chromosome, whole genome shotgun sequence.
CCGUACUAGACGGGGAGGUAGCGGUUCCCUGUAACUUGCAGCCCGCUCUAGCAAGGUGGAAUUCCCAAGAAAGGUCCACACCUGUGAAGCUGUCCUUGUAAGGCAGCAAUGAGAUUUGGGUCUUACGCAACAGAACACUUCGAACCGUGUCAGAUCUUGACGGAAGCAGCACUAAGGAGAGCGUUUUGUGUGCCGUAAGGUUGCCUGAAUCGAGUUGCCGAUCAAGGUAACGUUCGGAGGUGAUGGUUCGAUCAAGGGUGUACGG